UACGGGGGGGGCAAGCGUUGUUCGGAAUUACUGGGCGUAAAGGGCUCGUAGGCGGCCGACUAAGUCAGACGUGAAAUCCCUCGGCUCAACCGGGGAACUGCGUCCGAUACUGGAUGGCUUGAAUCCGGGAGAGGGAUGCGGAAUUCCAGGUGUAGCGGUGAAAUGCGUAGAUAUCUGGAGGAACACCGGUGGCGAAGGCGGCAUCCUGGACCGGCAUUGACGCUGAGGAGCGAAAGCCAGGGGAGCAAACGGG
rnacentral:rRNA from 1 species